GGAUGUGCUUGCACAUCGCUGACGAGUGGCGGACGGGUGAGUAAUGCUUGGGAACUUGCCUUUGCGAGGGGGAUAACAGUUGGAAACGACUGCUAAUACCGCAUAAUGUCUUCGGACCAAACGGGGCUUUUAGCUCCGGCGCAAAGAGAGGCCCAAGUAAGAUUAGCUAGUUGGUGAGGUAAAGGCUCACCAAGGCGACGAUCUCUAGCUGUUCUGAGAGGAAGAUCAGCCA
rnacentral:rRNA from 1 species